AAGAACCAACAGGGAUUGCCCCAGUAACGGCGAGUGAAGCGGCAACAGCUCAAAUUUGAAAUCUGGCCCCCGGGUCCGAGUUGUAAUUUGCAGAGGAUGCUUCGGGCGAGGUGCCUUCCGAGUUCCCUGGAACGGGACGCCACAGAGGGUGAGAGCCCCGUCUGGUCGGACACCGAGCCCGUGUGAAGCUCCUUCGAAGAGUCGAGUAGUUUGGGAAUGCUGCUCAAAAUGGGAGGUAUAUGUCUUCUAAAGCUAAAUAUUGGCCAGAGACCGAUAGCGCACAAGUAGAGUGAUCGAAAGAUGAAAAGCACUUUGAAAAGAGGGUUAAAAAGUACGUGAAAUUGUUGAAAGGGAAGCGCCCAUGACCAGACUUGGGCCCGGUGAAUCACCCGGCGUUCUCGCCGGUGCACUUUGCCGGGCACAGGCCAGCAUCAGUUUGGCGCGGGGGACAAAGGCUUCGGGAACGUGGCUCCCUCGGGAGUGUUAUAGCCCGCUGCGUAAUACCCUGCGCCGGACUGAGGUACGCGCAUCGCAAGGAUGCUGGCGUAAUGGUCAUCAGCGACCCGUCUUGAAACACGGACCAAGGAGUCGUCUUCGUAUGCGAGUGUUCGGGUGUCAAACCCCUACGCGGAAUGAAAGUGAACGCAGGUGAGAGCUUCGGCGCAUCAUCGACCGAUCCUGAUGUUCUCGGAUGGAUUUGAGUAAGAGCAUACGGGGCCGGACCCGAAAGAAGGUGAACUAUGCCUGUAUAGGGUGAAGCCAGAGGAAACUCUGGUGGAAGCUCGCAGCGGUUCUGACGUGCGAAUCGAUCGUCAAAUAUGGGCAUGGGGGCGAAAGACUAAUCGAACCUUCUAGUAGC
rnacentral:rRNA from 1 species